GCAUUGAAACACAGAUUCCCAUACAAUCACUGAAGUUAAGCAACAUUGAGCCUGGUAAGUACCUAGAUAGGUGACCACUUGGGAAUACCAGGUGUUGUAAG